rnacentral:rRNA from 1 species
UGAGGAAUAUUGGGCAAUGCCCGCAAGGGUGACCCAGCAACGCCGCGUGGAGGAUGAAUGUCGUAAGAUUGUAAACUCCUGUUAGAGGGGAAGAAUAGUACCGGUUGGACCGGUAUAUGACUGUACCCUCAGAGAAAGCCCCGGCUAACUACGUGCCAGCAGCCGCGGUAAUACGUAGGGGGCAAGCGUUGUCCGGAUUUACUGGGUGUAAAGGGCGCGCAGGCGGGAUAAAAAGUCAGUGGUGAAAUCCUACAGCUUAACUGUAGAACUGCCUUUGAUACUUUUAUGCUUGAGUUCGGGAGAGAGAGACGGAAGUCCAGGUGUAGUGGUGAAAUACGUAGAUAUCUGGAAGAACACCAGUUGCGAAGGCGGUCUCUUGGUCCGACACUGACGCUGAGCCGCGAAAGCGUGGGGAGCAAACA